AACGAACGCUGGCGGCAGGCUUAACACAUGCAAGUCGAACGCCCCGCAAGGGGAGUGGCAGACGGGUGAGUAACGCGUGGGAACGUACCUUUCAGUUCGGAAUAACUCAGGGAAACUUGUGCUAAUACCGGAUACGCCCGCAAGGGGAAAGAUUUAUCGCUGAAAGAUCGGCCCGCGUUGGAUUAGCUAGUUGGUGGGGUAAAGGCCUACCAAGGCGACGAUCCAUAGCUGGUCUGAGAGGAUGAUCAGCCACACUGGGACUGAGACACGGCCCAGACUCCUACGGGAGGCAGCAGUGGGGAAUAUUGGACAAUGGGCGCAAGCCUGAUCCAGCCAUGCCGCGUGUGUGAUGAAGGCCUUAGGGUUGUAAAGCACUUUCACCGAUGAAGAUAAUGACGGUAGUCGGAGAAGAAGCCCGGCUAACUUCGUGCCAGCAGCCGCGGUAAGAGUACUCUAU
rnacentral:rRNA from 1 species